rnacentral:lncRNA from 1 species
GUUAAUUAUUAUUAAUGACAGACCCUGUAAAUACAAAAUAAAAUCCAAAUCACUGGUCACGAGAUUCAAAAUUUACAUGUAAUAAAGGCAAGGCAAAAGACUCAAGUUCUGGCCUGUCAAAUAUUUACUCCACAGACAUUAUCUACAGAAGCACUUGGCCAAUGUGUACACAGUGAUCCUUAUGCACGCCAAAAGGGUUUCCGUAAAAAUGACGCUAUAUACAAUCUGUACACUGAUCCACCAGAGCGACUCUCUGUCUCCCGGGGGAGGAGCUAUCGAUAUAAAGCGGGAUACCUGAGGUUGCGUGUCUUCAAUUGCCUUAAAACGAUCCAAAUAUACAUUUCAGGGUUUUUUGUGUUUAAAGAUACUUUCUUUGAAUAUGUGCACUAUGAUUAAAAUUAAAAACGAUAAAAAAAUAAAAUAAUUGCUUGAAGGAGAAGACCCUCCCCCACCCUAUCGGGAAAGACUCCAUCUGGCUGUGGCACGACGAGGCCGUCCCUGGACAGGUGCCGGCGCUAUGGGAGGGCGGGUGGGCCCCUCCGUGACACCUCUUCGCAGAGUCGGCAAAGGCUCUCGUUGACUUUUAAAAAGAAGGAAGAUGAAGAAGAAAGGAAAAACCAACCCGGGCGCCAUGGGCCUUCAGUGCGCUGAGGCUCCUCCGCCACUCAGAGAAUAUCUAGGAAAAAGCAGAGAUCGGUAAGCAUCGCCAUCUCGGAGAACGAAAACAUUACAGAGUUUACAGAAGCUUCAAAGUCUUAGAAAAUAGGCCAGGAGAACAAGAAUGAGCAGGUUAACCCUGGAUGAGGGAGUCAUGGCGACGCAAGUCACACCUAGGACCACCUCGCUUUGUGACUGUGGUGUAUGUGUGCUGUACGUGGAAUGUGCACAUGUAUGUACAGGUGUGCACAACCAUGUGAACUCUGGGCAGAGGCUGACUCUAGGGGGUCUUUAUCAGGUUCCACCUCACCUUCCUGGCAGUGUCUCGUACUGCGUGCAGCUUGCCGUUCUGGCUGGCCAGUAACCCUCCAGGACCUAUCUACCCAGGUCUCCACAGGAUUACCACCCCUACCCUGUACCGGGAUGACACACAUGUGCCACCACACAGCCUCUGUCUGAGUGUUGGGACCUUAUCCUGCUUAUACACAAAGCACUUGACCCUCUGAGCCCUCUCCAUCCCUGGAUCUAUUUCUGAAAACUGGUGUUGACCAAGGACACAGCAAGAGCUCAGGGACAUAUCCACACUAGGUUGAGUCCAAGCUCAGCAAUUCUUUGGGGCAGCACUAUAUGGCUGCAGCCUAGAUGGGCUUCCUGGAAGCGGUAUCAAAAAAAAAAAAAAAAAAAAAACACAGCCCAAAGGAGGGCCUAUGUGUCUGCAUGAACACCUUGCAUAUAAAGUCAGAAGCAAUGGCAUAACCACUGGACUGUGUAAUUUCUUGCUC